UUAGAAAAAGUGAUGAGGGGAAAAAGGAGAAUUUAGUAAAUUUAACUGACAAUGUAUAAGCUUGUAACUUUUAUACUUUCUAAUGUUUUUAAAGUUUGAUAGCUUAGCAGCUCCUCUGAGUUUUGGUUAUUAAUACAAGGUUAUCUUCGUAAAAAAGAAGUAUCUAAAGUUUCAUUGAAUGUUUGGGAAAAAAUGCCCAUAGAUUAAGAAGUAUAUUGAAAAGUAGAAAACCUACAACAAGAUAUGAUUUUAUAUGAAUGUCAUCCAAGCUUAAAUAUAUAAAAGGACCUCAUGGGUGCAUCUAAAAGAUAGGAAAUUCCUUAACAAUGCAAUAUCAGUUUCUACCCUUAACAUAUAUUAUUUAUAUAAGAAUCUAUAUACUAUUUUAUACAUUAUAUAACGUGGAAUACAAAUCUCUUAGCAAUACCAGGAUAAGAUCACCUAAAGUGACAAACAACUCUCGAAAACUCUAAAGUAUGAUUACUUAUUUUUGUAUAAAAAUAAAUUAUUUUAUAAAAAUAUAAAAUCAUUGGAGUAUUUAUAUUGUAAGGAUUUAUAAUUCCUAGAUCACAAUCUUUUAAAUGACUAGGGAAAGGUGAUUAGACAUGAAAUGAUGCAGUUUAAACUUAUCGAGGACGUAAUCUUAGAUAAGAGGUUGUGGAGAACACAUAUUAGGGUAGAAGAGUUGGUAGGUUGGAGUGUUGUCUUCUGUUCGUUUAGUAGAUAUCGCAUUACUCUUGUAGUUUCUUGUCCUUUGAUUUCUAUUACUAUUUGAUGUUUCUUGAACUUUAACUAUCAUAUUGCUUUGUUACUAUCUAUUUUUUUGAAUUUGUAUUAUUUUUUGGACCAUUUUAGACUAUUUUCUUGAGUCGAGGGUGUAUGAGAAAUGACCUCUCUAUCUCUGAGGAAGGGGUAAGGUCUGCUUUAGACCUCUCUAUCUCUCUUUUAGUCUUCGGAGACUUAGUGGACUUAUUCUAGAAUGUCUUGAUCGUUGUCUUGAUAAUGAUAAAUGGUUAGAUUGCUAUCCUAAUACGAUAAUCACUCACCCUCCUCUUACUUAUUCCGACCAUUCUCCUCUCUUGAUUAAUCUCAAUAAUGGCACCCGAGUUAGGGAAAACAAACCCUUUAGGCUUGAAAAACUUUGGUGUACUCACCUUGAAUUUCAGGGGCUUCUUACCCAAUCUUGGACCUUGGAUAUAUUAUUAGAUCCACCACUCACUUUGCCGAUGUCGUUAAGGAUUAGAGCUCUACCACCUUUGAGGAUAUUAGAAAAAAUAAAAAUCUACUUGUUGAUUCUUUUAACAUUCCCCCGAAGCUAAACCAAACUUAAUUAUGUAUCAUUCCUAAAAUCCAGAAUGCUAAUUUUAAAAAUUACCAACCUAUUUGUAUUUGUAAUACCAUCUACAAGACUAUCACAAAAAUUAUUGUCAACUAUAUUAAACCCAUCCUCAAUGAUAUCAUUGGUCCUUAUCAAACUAUUUUUUUUCAAUGAAGACGUCUUUUCGAUAAUGCCAUUAUUAUUCAAGAACUAAUGAAUUGCUUCAAGACUACUCGAUCCAUAGAGUGGUCUUUUAAAAUAAAAGAACUCUUCUCUACUUCAAUUUUCCUCCCAAAAUUGCCAAAUUAAUUAUGAACUGCAUUACUUCAAUUUUCCUCCCAAAAUUACCAAAUUAAUUAUGAACUGCAUCACUACUAAGACUAUCUCUAUUUUGGUUAAUGGAAUAAAAAUUGAAUUCUUCUCUCCUACUAGAGUUAUUUGACAGGGCGACCCUCUUUUGCCUUACUUAUUCAUUCUUUGCAUGGAACUUCUCUCCAUAUCCAUCAAUCAACAAGUCCGAAAUGGAUUAUGGGAAUCUGUUAAGUUAUCUCCUUUGGGAACCUGUUAAGUUAUCUCCUUUCACCCCUCCUUUAUCGCACUUAUUCUAUGCUGAUGAUCUCACUUAAACUACAAAAUCAUCCUUGGCUACUGCUCAAAAUAUUCAGCAUGUUCUUACUACCUUCCGUUAACUCUCAGGACAUUUCAUCAAUUGAGCUAAAUCAAAAGCUAUCUUUUCAAAGAAUUGUUAUCCCACUCUCAUUCACCAAAUUACUUCCCUCUUUAACAUAAAACAAUCUACCUCCUUUGGCACCUAUUUAGGCUUUCUUAUCCUUAAUGGGGCUCCCCGACCUUGGGACCGCUUCCACAUUUUAGAUACAAUGAAUAUCAGCUCUUCUAUUGGAAAACUAGGUUCCUUACAAAUGCUGAGAAGCUCACUCUCAUUAAAGCUACUUUAAAUGCUAUUCCUGCCUAUCAAAUGCAAUAUUUUCUUCUCCCCUCCAAAAAUUCUCAAUAAAAAAUAAAAUUGAAAGAGAUUUUUUAUAGGGUUCCACUUUCGAUAAACACAAACUUCAUUAUGUCAAUUGGUCUAUUAUUACGUCCCCCAUUAAUGAAGAUGGUCUAGGCAUACAUAAAGCUAAAUCCAAGAAUCUAGCCAUGAUUACUGGACUGACUUGGAGGCUCUUCACCAACCCCUACAAACUUUGGUCUAGCUGCCUUAUGGAUAAAUAUGCUAAUCGCUCCUCCACCUCCCUUACUUUCUUUAUUUGGAAAACUAUCAUCAAAAGUUGGUCUUUGGAAAACUAUCAUCAAAAGUUGGUCUUUUUGUGACAAAGCCAUUCAUUAGAUUAUUGAUGAUGGAAAUCUUAUUAAUUUCUAGAAUUAUCACUAGAUUAGUCCCACCACCACCAUUCAUUCCCUUAUUAAUGGUCUUUUAGCCCAUACUGACAUCGGAAAGCUAGUUUCUUAUCAUCGCAACACUAACUAUUGGGAUUGGAGAAAAUUCUCCUUUGUCAUUCCCAAUGAUAUCAAAAAACAAAUCUCCCCCGUUUAUGUUCCCCCCUCCACUCCCAUCUAUUCCUUAAUCAUCAUGGUAUUUUUUCCACUGUUUCCACUUAUAUAAUUCUUUGGAAUCUUAUUCCCUUCAUAAUAGAUUUUCACUAAAUUUGGAAACUUAAUACUUUUCAAAAGAUCAAAUUCUUCCUUUGGCAAACUCUCCAUAAUCGCCUCCCAGCAAGGAAUAUCUACAUAAAAUCAAUGUUAGUGAUACAAACCAGUGCCCUAUUUGCUGAAACGGCAUUGAAGAUGCCUUCCAGAUCUUUUUCGCCUAUCCAGUAGCCAAAAUCCCACAAACUUCUUUCAAUUCAAUUCCCAUCCACUCUGGCUCAUUGCUAUUUCGAAAGUAAAUAUUACUCUUGCCAAAUCAUAUCCUCCAAUGGGAUAUUUUCUACCCUUUUGCCUUGUGUCAUACAUGGCUCAAUCGAAACCAUAAUAUAACCAUAACUAGCACAACCUCAUCUCUCCUUAUUUUAUAAACUCUUGAGUGAUAAACUAUACCUACACUCUAAACACCUUCCUAGAUAUACCUACCUUUUAAAUAAAUCCUUAUCAAAUAGUUCUCCCACCGGUUGGGUUUUUCAAACUUAACACAGAUGGUACUUUCAAACCCUCUACUCAUCAAGGUGGCAUUGGUGGAGUCAUACAAUAUGAUAAAGGAGAAAUGGUGGUACUGGUUAACGAGGUUGGAGAUCCACUGCUUAGGCAUAACAAUAGAGAGGGAAAUGAAGUAGCAUAUGUUUUGUCUCAACAAGGAGCACACAACUUAGUGGCAACAAAUUUUCAAGUGUUUUUGUACCCUCCCCUAUGGGUGUUCACUAUUUUUCAACAAGAUAGAGAAGAACACAGUACUUGUAAAACGUUUUUUUUUCAUGUUUGUAAUAGACUAGCUAAUUUGGGUAACUCAAUAUUACAAUCUCUACUAUAAUCCUACUGCUA